rnacentral:tRNA from 1 species
GAUGAAAUGGCCGAGAUUAGGCAAUAAACUGUAAAUUUAUUCACGAAAUUUUUUUCUUUCAUCA